GAUUGAAAUUAUCCACCUCAGGUCACGUGCUUUGGCGAGAGUAGUAUUAGGAUGGGUGACCUUCUGGGAAGUCCUCGUGUUGCACCUC
rnacentral:rRNA from 2 species